AACGCACCUUGCGCUCCUUGGUAUUCCGAGGAGCAUGCCUGUUUGAGUGUCAUUAAUUUCUCAACCUCACCAACUUUUUGUUGUGUGAAGGCUUGGAUGUGGGGGUUGCAGGUCCGCAUUUAUGUGGUCUGCUCCUCUAAAACGUAUUAGUGGGUUAGUCCCCUAAUCUAUUGGUGUGAUAAUUAUCUGCGCCGUGGAUUUGGACGACUAUUAUAGACCCGCUUCUAACCGUCCUCUGGACAACUUUGACAAUUUUGACCUCAAAUCAGGUAAGACUACCCGCUGAACUUAA
rnacentral:misc_RNA from 1 species